rnacentral:lncRNA from 1 species
GUCUGGAUUUCAGUCAUCUCCAUACACUUAUGUCGGCAUCUCUGUAUGCCAACUGCUAUAUUUUUGCCCAUGAAAUAGGCCUGUUGAUUAAAUGACAAAUUGUCUUUCAUGUGUUUGCUUAUUUUAUAUUAGUAGCAUAGAUUACUGUGUGUGUUGCAGAAUGAAGCAACCAAUCUAGGAAACGACAAAUAGUUCAAGGAACAGAUAAUAGUCAUCUAUGUGAUCAGAGAUGAUUAUAAUAUUUUUGAACUUGAGUCUCAUUUUGUUCACAAAACAGAAUUUUGUGGCUUCGUUAUAGAUGCAUGCCCUUUCAUCCCUGAGGUCUUGUAGUACUUGAUGGUAACCAUGGUAUUGAACAAAGUAGUAUCAAUACACACUUCAAAGGACUUCGGAGACAUUAAUUGAGGGCAUUGAUCAGAUGGAUAGACUUAACAUGAUUUUGAUGCUCUAUCUGUAACAAACAUGUCUAUAAUUUGGGCGGAAUGACAAUAAUGCAAAGGAGCUGCCCCUCCAGGAAUAAACAACAGGUGUCAUUGAUCGAUAUCCUCCACAAGAUGUUUGCAAUACAGAAGCUAUCUGGGAAGGUCUUGAUAGGAUCAGCAUGUGCCCAGAAAAAUACAACUUUGACUAUUUGCAUGACAAGAUGAAUUCUUCUGAGGCUUUACGUAAACAUGAGACAUUUCUAGAAAUCAUCAAGGUUCAAGCCUUCAACCUCCAAAAGACCAAAAGGAAAAUACAACAGAAACAUACAGAAUUAAGCAGACAAAUAGCCUCAAUUGAUCAAACAACUAAUAUGUCUUGAAAAAAUCUAUCUUUAAUUUACUUUCAUUAUGAAUAAAGUGUUUCCAUCAACAUGUUGAUGUAUUCGAAUGUGAAAGAUAUAAAUAUGAAUCUAACAUCAAAUACAAAGACAAACUGCAGUGUUAAAGAAACAAAUAGAAGUGUCAAGAACUAAAUAAAAUAUUCUUCCAAUCUUCUCUAACAAUCAAGAAUCAACAUUCCUACUACGCUGCAUUCGGUAAACUUCCGUCUCAACAUCAAUUCAAAAAAAAAUUACCAAUGGAUUUUAAGACAGGCAGCAAAUCUAACAAAGCAUGCAUGUCAAUUGUGGUCCAUAACUGUUCUAAGGUAAGCAAAUUACGAACUAUAGUAUAAACAAAAAGUUCAACUAACCCAUGCAACUCGUUUCCUGUGUGGAAGAAAAGUUGGGGGUUCCCUCCUUAUCAGUAAUGUCUCUUCUUCCUCGUCAUAUACAAGCGCAUCAUGGGCUUGAAUCGGGUUUCCAUCUUUCGGUAACCACAAUCUACUGAAAAUAGAAACGCAUGCUGUCGUUCCCUUCCCUUGUCGGACCUACCGCAGUCUUUGAGUUGGGGAAGAAAGGCAUGCACCUUAGAGAUCCAUCUAAGAAGCCAUCAAUCGCUGCAAGUGGCUCCUUUGGUCCCCUUCGCUUUAGAUCAUACGAAGAAUGCCGGUCUCUUUCUUCCAUCCCUUCCCGUUCUCUGGUAUUCCCCUCAGGUGUUUGUUCGUGAUCCUCGUUGAGAUGGAUGAACACUACAGCAUAGGAUCCGAAUUCGGAGGACCGUCCACUUUUGUCCUUCUUCAAGAUUGGCAUAGAUCUUGGAUGGACGGUCAUCGUCGUCCCCAGAUGGUAUACCAUCAGUUCCCCUCGUUAUUCACCCUUCUGACAACCUGUCCUGUGGUUGGUGCAAAUACGGGGGGCGACAUAUGACGUGUCUCCUCCUGGACGACCAGACAUGUGGGUUCCAGAGUACCAUGAACGUGUUGGGCUCUCACAGACCCCACCUCUGGGCCCCGAUGCUCACUUGCCCAAAGAGUGCCACGUAGGUAUGGGCGGCACGAUAACUCGGGAGUCG